rnacentral:rRNA from 1 species
UACGUAGGGUGCGAGCGUUGUCCGGAAUUACUGGGCGUAAAGAGCUCGUAGGUGGUUUGUCGCGUUGUCCGUGAAAACUCACAACUCAAUUGUGGGCGUGCGGGCGAUACGGGCAGACUGGAGUACUGCAGGGGAGACUGGAAUUCCUGGUGUAGCGGUGGAAUGCGCAGAUAAUCAGGAGGAACACCGGUGGCGAAGGCGGGUCUCUGGGCAGUAACUGACGCUGAGGAGCGAAAGCGUGGGGGAGCGAACAGG